rnacentral:rRNA from 1 species
GACGAACGCUGGCGGCGUGCCUAAUACAUGCCAGUUGAGCGCUGAAGGUUGGUACUUGUACCAACUGGAUGAGCAGCGAACGGGUGAGUAACGCGUGGGGAAUCUGCCUUUGAGCGGGGGACAACAUUUGGAAACGAAUGCUAAUACCGCAUAAAAACUUUAAACACAAGUUUUAAGUUUGAAAGAUGCAAUUGCAUCACUCAAAGAUGAUCCCGCGUUGUAUUAGCUAGUUGGUGAGGUAAAGGCUCACCAAGGCGAUGAUACAUAGCCGACCUGAGAGGGUGAUCGGCCACAUUGGGACUGAGACACGGCCCAAACUCCUACGGGAGGCAGCAGUAGGGAAUCUUCGGCAAUGGACGAAAGUCUGACCGAGCAACGCCGCGUGAGUGAAGAAGGGUUUCAGAUCGUAAAACUCUGUUGGUAGAGAAGAACGUUGGUGAGAGUGGAAAGCUCAUCAAGUGACGGUAACUACACAGAAAGGGACGGCUAACUACGUG